rnacentral:misc_RNA from 1 species
AAGUCGUAACAAGGUUUCCGUAGGUGAACCUGCGGAAGGAUCAUUAAAGUGAAAGCUUAGUCCCUUGUGGACGUGGUAGCCCAAAACCUCCAGGGGCAACCCGGGGGCUGGCCGCCUAACCCUCUGUUUACAUUACCUUGUUUCUUUGGCGGGCCGCGGCCUCGCGCCCCGCCGGCUUCCCUCACGGGGGCUGGCGUGUGCCCGUCAGAGGCCCAUUCAAAAUCUGUUUUAAAAAUGCAGUCUAAGUCUAUAUUUUAAUAGCCUAAAACUUUCAACAACGGAUCUCUUGGUUCUG